rnacentral:lncRNA from 1 species
CACGAGAAUCAUCCCAGCCGUCUGUCGCCCUUUCCUCUUCCCGAAAGGGUCCAAAUUUCAGAAAAAAGGGUGUUUCCCUUUAACAGUGAACUUUUUCGAAUUUGAAUCGAGGAUGAGCCCUUGAAUUCGGGGAAUCCAUCCUCCCCCCUCCCCCUCAAAUAUUCUAGACCAUAAUUUCCCCUAUGUAUAACAUCUUUUUUUCACUGUGAGGGAGGGAGGAAAUUUUUGAAAAACAAAAGGGAGUUACUAGAUAUUGUCGAGUUUGGAGAUUUUAGUGGAGAAAAUUGUUAAAGGUUUUAGUUUGAAGUUGGAUUCUUAGGAAAAGAAAAUACUUAUAAAGUUUCAGUGAGAUAGCCUAAGAUAAGUAAAACAGGUUUUCAAAGAAAACGGAGGAAGAACUCUUUAAUUUAGGUGUUGAGUUCGAUAUUUUGCUUAAGUUCUCAACUGCUGCUCGUGUUUAGGUUCUUGUGGUGGUCGUCCCCUGUCCGUUUGUCUCAAAACGCUUUGCGAAAAAAGGUCCCAAGUUGAAAGGAUUCAAACAGAUUAAGAAGUUGAAGAAAUUGGACAAAAGAGUCCAACUUUAUUUUUUUUCAGAGCGUUGUAUUUUGUUAUCGUUGGGCCUAAGCCCUUGUUGUCUUUUCUUUUCCGUAUUCAUUAUUUACAGAUUGUCUAAUUAGUCUAGGAUAGGUACAAAAUGAAAUGGGUCGAAAUACCGGUCUAGAUAGACAGAAAGUGGAUUUGGACCCAACUCUCUCUCUCUCUCUCUUUUACUUUAUCACUUACUUAUCUGUAGUUAAUUUCUGUUAGUCUUAGGAUUAAAAAAAUCAAAUCCUCCGCAAGACGUUAUUUCGUUUUAAUAAUUCAAUGAAAUCAAUCAUGUCUAUAUAUUUUAAAACAAUAGGAAUUUUGUAAGUUAAAAAGUCUCACUUAGAUAAUAGUUUAAUAUCUCUCUUUUUACAAAUUCUAAAUAAUUUUUCAAUUCUAACUAAGUUAAAUCUUUUAGCCAAACAUUUUAGUUUUUGGAUAAUCGGAGUAACGCGAGUAUUUUAGGUCUCAUAAAAAUCUUCCUAAAAUAUUAAUAAGAGCCCUUGAAUCCUGUUUAACGUUUUUGAUCAAUUUCGUGUUUUGAUCUUUUGAAAACAAAGGUUUCUUGAUUUUUCUAAAAUUAAGUGGCGACUCUCAAAAUCAAAUCUAAAAUCACUAAAAAUAUUUUUCUUUUAAAUAAAACAGAAUUCUAGCUUCUUUUCUUUCUCAAAAUGUGAAAACAUUUAUAAUUUUAGGGACUACUUAGUUCCCUUGUAGCUUUUGAGAAAUAAACUCACACUUUGCUCUUUACUUUACUUGAAACUUAACUUUUAGGGAAUACUUAGUUCCUUUAUAACUUUUGAGAUUAAAACUAAUCUCAUUACUCUUUGUUCAACUUGUAUCAUGAUCCUUAAAACAAUGUUAAAAUGUUUUUUUUAAGACUACUGAAAACUUUUUAAAAAACUCACUUUGACUUGUG